UUGCUUCACUUUCAUGUCCAGAGCUGCUUAGACUGAUUUCUGCAACGUGCACAGGCAUUUUCAUGCUGAGGAUAAAGGACCAUGAUCGCUUGUCUGGACCCAGAAAAUAUUUCCCGUUUGCUACACAGAUGCCGUCCCAUCCUUCCAGAGUUCAAGACUUCAGCAGAAAAAGAAUCACCUCAUUAAAGGAAAAUUGUGCCUUAUCCCCACUACUCGAAGACGCAACCAUCUCCCUGGUCACAGCCACUUUUUUCCUUUUUUUCUCACUCCAUUGUAUGUGUGUGUGGUGCGGCAGGGGAUAAGGGGAAUAAUCUCUCUCAAGUAUAAGAAGGAGAUAGAAGUUCAUGAAGCAGAAGCACAACAGGUGGUGGUUUGUCCUUUAAGCAAGUACUCAAUAGUUAAGGCUGAUCUCUUUGGCUCUUCACUGGGAGCAGAAAAAGAAAGAGAAAUGCUGAAGAUGGAAGAAUGGACACAACAG